rnacentral:misc_RNA from 1 species
GAUGAAGAACGUAGCGAAAUGCGAUACGUAAUGUGAAUUGCAGAAUUCAGUGAAUCAUCGAGUCUUUGAACGCACAUUGCGCCCCCUGGUAUUCCGGGGGGCAUGCCUGUCCGAGCGUCAUUGCUGCCCUCAAGCACGGCUUGUGUGUUGGGCCUCCGCCCCCCGGCUCCCGGGGGGCGGGCCCGAAAGGCAGCGGCGGCACCGCGUCCGGUCCUCGAGCGUAUGGGGCUUCGUCACCCGCUCCGUAGGCCCGGCCGGCGCCCGCCGGCGACCCCCCUCAAUCUUUCCAGGUUGACCUCGGAUCAGGUAGGGAUACCCGCUGAACUUAAGCAUAUCAAUAAACGGAGGA